rnacentral:rRNA from 1 species
AUUGAACGCUGGCGGUAUGCUUAACACAUGCAAGUCGAACGGCAGCACGGUAGAGCUUGCUCUAUGGGUGGCGAGUGGCGGACGGGUGAGUAUUGCAUCGGGACCUACACAGACGUGGGGGAUAACCUAGGGAAACUUACGCUAAUACCGCAUACAUCCUAAGGGAGAAAGCUGGGGCUCGCAAUACCACGCGCGGUUGGAUGGACCGAUGUGCGAUUGGCUUGUUGGUAAGGUAAUGGCUAACCAAGGCGACGAUCGCAAGGUGGGCUGAUAGGAUGAGAAGCAACACUGGGACUGAGACACGGCCCAGACUCCUACGGGAGGCAGCAGUGGGGAAUAUUGGACAAUGGGCGAAAGGCUGAUCCAGAAAUACCGAGUGUGUGAAAAAGGCCCUCGGGUUUUAAAGCACUUUUAUCAGGAACGAAAACUGCAAGGUUAAUACCCGUGCAGUCUGACGGUACCUGAGGAAUAAGCACCGGCUAACUCCGUGCCAGCCGCCGCCGUAA